rnacentral:rRNA from 1 species
UACGGGGGGGGCAAGCGUUGUUCGGAAUUACUGGGCGUAAAGGGCGCGUAGGCGGUUCGCUAAGUUGAAUGUGAAAACUCUGGGCUUAACCCAGAGCCUGCAUCCAAAACUGGCGAACUGGAGUACUGGAGGGGAAAGCGGAAUUCCUGGUGUAGCGGUGAAAUGCGUAGAUAUCAGGAGGAACACCGGUGGCGAAGGCAGCUCGCUGGAACGUUACUGACGCUGAGACGCGAAAGCGUGGGGAGCAAACAGG